rnacentral:rRNA from 1 species
CGGAGCAGGGUGAGUCGGCCCCUAAGGCGAGGCUGAAGAGCGUAGUCGAUGGGAACCAGGUUAAUAUUCCUGGACUUUUUAUAAGUGGUGAAGUGGGGACGAAGAAGGCUAGGUGAGCCAGGCGUUGGUUGUCCUGGUACUUGCAUGUAGGGGGGAAGACUUGGCAAAUCCGGUUUUCCAUAACUCUGAGGUGCGAAGUGGUUCUGACCUUUUGGUACAGAGAAGUCAUUGAUGCCCGGCUUCCAGGAAAAGCUGCUAGCCAUAACUUAUAGAGAACCGUACCGCAAACCGACACAGGUGGACAGGUAGAGAAUACUAAGGCGCUUGAGAGAACUCGGGUGAAGGAACUAGGCAAAAUGGUACCGUAACUUCGGGAGAAGGUACGCCCUUUUGGGUGAGGGCAUUUACUGUCUGAGCUUAAGAGGGCCGCAGAGACCAGGUGGCUGCGACUGUUUAUUAAAAACACAGCACUCUGCAAAUUCGUAAGAAGACGUAUAGGGUGUGACGCCUGCCCGGUGCCGGAAGGUUAAUUGAUGGGGUUAUCUUCGGAGAAGCUCUUGAUCGAAGCCCCGGUAAACGGCGGCCGUAACUAUAACGGUCCUAAGGUAGCGAAAUUCCUUGUCGGGUAAGUUCCGACCUGCACGAAUGGCGUAACGAUGGCCACACUGUCUCCACCCGAGACUCAGUGAAAUUGAAAUCGCUGUGAAGAUGCAGUGUACCCGCGGCUAGACGGAAAGACCCCGUGAACCUUUACUAUAGUUUUGCACUGGACUUUGAUGAUGACUGUGUAGGAUAGGUGGGAGGCUGUGAAGUGAGGACGCUAGUUCUCAUGGAGCCGCCCUUGAAAUACCACCCUGUUGUUAUUGAGGUUCUAACUUGGUCCAGUAAUCCUGGAUGAGGACAGUGUAUGAUGGGUAGUUUGACUGGGGCGGUCUCCUCCCAAAGAGUAACGGAGGAGCACAAAGGUACCCUCGGUACGGUCGGACAUCGUACCAAGAGUGUAAAGGCAAAAGGGUGCUUGACUGCGAGAGUGACGGCUCGAGCAGGAACGAAAGUUGGUCUUAGUGAUCCGGUGGUUCUGAAUGGAAGGGCCAUCGCUCAACGGAUAAAAGGUACUCCGGGGAUAACAGGCUGAUACCGCCCAAGAGUUCAUAUCGACGGCGGUGUUUGGCACCUCGAUGUCGGCUCAUCACAUCCUGGGGCUGAAGCAGGUCCCAAGGGUAUGGCUGUUCGCCAUUUAAAGUGGUACGCGAGCUGGGUUUAGAACGUCGUGAGACAGUUCGGUCCCUAUCUGCCGUGGGCGUAGGAAAAUUGAGAGGAGCUGCUCCUAGUACGAGAGGACCGGAGUGGACGAACCUCUGGUGCACCGGUUGUCACGCCAGUGGCAUGGCCGGGUAGCUAAGUUCGGACGGGAUAACCGCUGAAAGCAUCUAAGCGGGAAGCCUCCCUCAAGAUGAGUUUUCCCAUGAAGCCCGUUGAAGACUACGACGUUGAUAGGCAAGGUGUGGAAGCGCAGUAAUGCGUGAAGCUAACUUGUACUAAUUGGCUGAUUGUCUUGACCAU